UACGUCGGGGGCGAGCGUUGUCCGGAUUCAUUGGGCGUAAAGAGCUCGUAGGCGGUUUGGCAAGUCGGAUGUGAAAUCUCUGGGCUCAACUCAGAGAGGCCAUUCGAGACUGCUAUGACUAGAGUCCGGUAGGGGACCAUGGAAUUCCUGGUGUAGCGGUGAAAUGCGCAGAUAUCAGGAAGAACACCCGUGGCGAAGGCGGCUCUCUGGGACGGUACUGACGCUGAGACGCGAAAGCAUGGGGAGCGAACAGG
rnacentral:rRNA from 1 species